ACGAUGACUCUCUAGCUUGCUAGAGAUGAUUAGUGGCGGACGGGUGAGUAACAUUUAGGAAUCUACCUAGUAGUGGGGGAUAGCUCGGGGAAACUCGAAUUAAUACCGCAUACGACCUACGGGUGAAAGGGGGCGCAAGCUCUUGCUAUUAGAUGAGCCUAAAUCAGAUUAGCUAGUUGGUGGGGUAAAGGCCCACCAAGGCGACGAUCUGUAACUGGUCUGAGAGGAUGAUCAGUCACACCGGAACUGAGACACGGUCCGGACUCCUACGGGAGGCAGCAGUGGGGAAUAUUGGACAAUGGGGGCAACCCUGAUCCAGCCAUGCCGCGUGUGUGAAGAAGGCCUUUUGGUUGUAAAGCACUUUAAGCAGGGAGGAGAGGCUAAUGGUUAAUACCCAUUAGAUUAGACGUUACCUGCAGAAUAAGCACCGGCUAACUCUGUGCCAGCAGCCGCGGUAAUACAGAGGGUGCGAGCGUUAAUCGGAAUUACUGGGCGUAAAGCGAGUGUAGGUGGCUCAUUAAGUCACAUGUGAAAUCCCCGGGCUUAACCUGGGAACUGCAUGUGAUACUGGUGGUGCUAGAAUAUGUGAGAGGGAAGUAGAAUUCCAGGUGUAGUGGUGAAAUGCGUAGAGAUCUGGAGGAAUACCGAUGGCGA
rnacentral:rRNA from 1 species